rnacentral:lncRNA from 1 species
AGGGCUUCUGAUCUGUGACCUCCGCAAGAGGAGAACUGAGUUUUCGUCUGCUUAGAAUAUUGAUUAUCCUCCCGUAAAACUUGUAUCCAUCAUUGCCAGAAGGGGCAUAUCCAAAGAGGCUUUACUGUUUUUGUAUUCUGAAAUCAAACGAGCGACUGCACAACUUCAUUUCCACAGCCUCAUUCAUGUUCUGCUGAACCA